rnacentral:rRNA from 1 species
AGUGAACGCUGGCGGUAGGCCUAACACAUGCAAGUCGAACGGCAGCACAGUAAGAGCUUGCUCUUACGGGUGGCGAGUGGCGGACGGGUGAGGAAUACAUCGGAAUCUACUUUUUCGUGGGGGAUAACGUAGGGAAACUUACGCUAAUACCGCAUACGGCCUACGGGUGAAAGCAGGGGAUCUUCGGACCUUGCGCGAUUGAAUGAGCCGAUGUCGGAUUAGCUAGUUGGCGGGGUAAAGGCCCACCAAGGCGACGAUCCGUAGCUGGUCUGAGAGGAUGAUCAGCCACACUGGAACUGAGACACGGUCCAGACUCCUACGGGAGGCAGCAGUGGGGAAUAUUGGACAAUGGGCGCAAGCCUGAUCCAGCCAUACCGCGUGGGUGAAGAAGGCCUUCGGGUUGUAAAGCCCUUUUGUUGGGAAAGAAAAGCAGCAGGUUAAUACCCCGCUGUUUUGACGGUACCCAAAGAAUAAGCACCGGCUAACUUCGUG